rnacentral:rRNA from 1 species
GAUGAACGCUGGCGGCGUGCUUAACACAUGCAAGUCGAACGAAGCACCUUGGACAGAUUUUUCGGAUGAAGUCCUUAGUGACUGAGUGGCGGACGGGUGAGUAACGCGUGGGUAACCUGCCUCAUACAGGGGGAUAACAGUUAGAAAUGGCUGCUAAUACCGCAUAAGCGCACAGUACCGCAUGGUACGGUGUGAAAAACUCCGGUGGUAUGAGAUGGACCCGCGUUGGAUUAGCUAGUUGGCAGGGUAACGGCCUACCAAGGCGACGAUCCAUAGCCGGCCUGAGAGGGUGGACGGCCACAUUGGGACUGAGACACGGCCCAGACUCCUACGGGAGGCAGCAGUGGGGAAUAUUGCACAAUGGGGGAAACCCUGAUGCAGCGACGCCGCGUGAGCGAAGAAGUAUUUCGGUAUGUAAAGCUCUAUCAGCAGGGAAGAAAAUGACGGUAC